AUGGGGGCGAUUGGGGGCGACGAGAUGGCGCAGUGGGAUAAUGCGGACGGAGGCGAGGUGGCCAAUGGCGCCGCCGGGAAGCUGGAGAAGAUACUGGUUUCGGUGAGGCUCAGGCCGCUCAGCGACAAGGAGGUUGCGCGCGGGGAUCCGUCCGAGUGGGAGUGCAUCAGCGACACCACCGUCAUCGCCCGGAGCGCCUUCCCCGACCGGCCAACGGCUCCGACUGCCUACUCCUUUGACAGGGUAUUCCGUUCUGACUGCGAUACCAAAGAAGUGUACGAGCAAGGGGCCAAGGAGGUUGCCCUCUCUGUAGUUAGUGGCAUCAACUCUAGUAUCUUUGCAUAUGGUCAAACAAGUAGUGGGAAGACAUACACCAUGACCGGAAUAACGGAAUGUACAGUAUCAGAUAUUUAUGAUUACAUUGGCCGGCACGAGGAGAGAGCAUUCGUGUUGAAAUUCUCAGCGAUCGAAAUAUAUAACGAAGUUGUAAGGGAUCUUCUUAGUUCAGAAAACACUUCUCUUAGACUUUGGGAUGACGCAGAGAAGGGGACUUAUGUAGAGAACCUUAAAGAGGUGAUAUUGAGGGACUGGAACCAUCUCAAGGAACUUAUUUCUGUGUGUGAAGCUCAAAGGAGAACCGGAGAGACAUACUUAAACGAAAACAGCUCCAGAUCGCAUCAAAUCCUUAAAUUGACUAUCGAAAGUUCUGCUCGUGAAUUCUUGGGUAAGGACAAGUCAACGACACUUGCGGCUAGUGUGAACUUUGUUGAUUUGGCAGGAAGUGAACGUGCAUCUCAGGCACUGUCAGCUGGUGCUAGGCUGAAGGAAGGUUGUCAUAUUAAUAGAAGUUUACUUACCCUGGGAACUGUCAUUCGUAAACUAAGCAAGGUAAGAAAUGGACACAUACCAUAUCGGGAUUCAAAGCUCACACGCAUAUUACAACCUUCUCUUGGAGGUAAUGCAAGGACUGCAAUCAUUUGCACAAUGAGCCCAGCCCGAAGCUACAUGGAGCAAUCAAGAAAUACCCUGCUAUUUGCAAGUUGUGCAAAGGAAGUAGUUACAAAUGCACAGGUUAAUGUAGUCAUGUCUGAUAAAGCCCUAGUUAAGCAUUUACAAAGGGAACUUGCUAGGUUGGAGAGUGAACUGCGAUGUCCAGCUACCUAUUCCAGUCUAGAAUCAUUGGUGAGGGAAAAAGAUAACCACAUCCGGAAGAUGGAGAAAGAAAUUAAGGAAUUGAAGGCACAGCGUGAUCUGGCUCAAUCUAGGCUGCAGGAUCUGCUCCAGGUUGUUGGAGAUAACCAUGUUUCAAAGCACCCCCUGGCUUCUGGAAGGAACUUUACCUUCGAUGUGCCCCAGCCAUGUGAAGAUCAGAUAUCAACAACCGAAUCAUCAGAAGUAGUUGACAAUGUCCAAAAUUUCAGGUUCCAAGGACGCCAUGCAGCACAGAGGGAAGUUGGGUCUCAACAGUCUGAAAAUAAUGUGCAGUUUGCUACCCCAUUGAGUUAUUCAGUCAGCAGUCCUCCAUUCAGUGGGAUGCCCCCAACCACUAGCAGAGAUGACGUUUCUCAGAUAUCAAAUGAGGAUUCAGAUGAUGUUUGCAAAGAAGUACGGUGCAUAGAGACCAAUGAAACAGAAGGAAAAAAUGGUCUGGACUCGUCAGCUAUCGGGAGCAAUAUCUUGCAAGAUUCGAAUGUGGGUGCUAGUACACAUGGAAACGAUGAUGUAUCUACUGUUACCCUGGAGCAACAUCUAGAGACUGUCAGAAAACCUUUUGCCAAUCUUGUCGAAGAUCUAGGGUCUUCAACACGAAACCCAUCUAGCUCUAGAGGAAUUGUGAGAAGCAGGAGCUGUAGGUCUCUGAUGGGCUCUACUCUGUUUGAAGACCUGGAGAAGGAUGACUGCACACCACCGAGCAGAAGAUUCAUGGACUUCCCCGGGAGACCUGAAGGGGGUCAAAGAAGGGGUUCUGCGCUGAACUUUGAUGCAGAGAGUGAAACUUUGUCACGGGCAGGGUCAAUGCUUUCUGAAAUUACUACUACGAGGGGUGGACCCAAGGCAAAUGGUUCUGUGGCAGGUGACACAGAAUUUACCGGCAUAGGUGAAUUUGUUGCUGAACUGAAAGAAAUGGCUCAGUAUCAGAAGCAACUCGGUGGUCAGUAUGUUAACGGAGAAAUAGCAGAAGGAACCGUCAGGAGCGUUGGAUUAGAUCCAAUCAUGGAUGCCUUGCAAUCACCUUCGCGAUGGCCACUGGAAUUUGAGAGAAAACAGCAAGAGAUCAUUGACCUUUGGCAUGCAUGCUAUGCUUCAUUGGUUCACAGAACCUACUUUUUCUUGUUGUUUAAAGGAGAUCCAGCCGACUCCAUUUACAUGGAAGUGGAGAUAAGGAGGCUAUCUUUCCUUAAAGAUACCUAUGCCAAUGGUGGUAUGGAAAGCAAAGUCGUGGCUGGUAGCCUGAACACUUCUCUGGUUUCAAGUGCCAGGAAGUUGCAACGUGAGAGGGAGAUGCUCUGCAGGCAAAUGCAGAAGCGGCUCUCGAUUGAGGAAAGAGAGAGCAUGUACACCAAAUGGGGAGUUUCGCUGUCCUCCAAGAGGAGAAGGCUUCAGGUGGCACGUCGCCUUUGGACCGAAACCAAAAACCUCGAGCAUGUCAGGGAGAGCGCUUCCCUUGUCGCCCGAUUGAUCGGCCUCCUAGAGCCAGGAAAGGCACUGAGGGAGAUGUUUGGGCUAAGCUUUGCGCCACAGCAGUUCAGCCGACGAUCCCACAAUAGCUGGAGAUAUGGCCGUUCUUCUCUGGACUGA
rnacentral:rRNA from 1 species